AAAACAGCAUUUUUUCAAAUAUGAAAUCAAAUGGCAAUAACAAAACUUAUACGAAAAAUGGCAGUUAAAGUAAUUGAGACUAUUGUUAAAGACGAUGACCAAGAAUUAGAGUUUCAAGAAAUAGAGUUGACCGUCGAAGAAUUCAUGAAAAAACUUGAUGAAAAAACACAAAAACCAACUUUACAGAUAGAAAGAGCCGAAGAGCUAAAAAAAAUUAGUGCAUUUUCAGGUGGAUAAAAAAAAGAAAAAAAGCAAAUAUAAAUUAAAAAGAAAUCGACAA